ensembl:lncRNA novel transcript
CUCCACAUCACUCCUCAGGGAGGAAAUGAACGCCCAGGCAGGCAGAGCUGUGGGCAUCUACAGCAGGCCCUGUGCUGCUGUCACAACCUCACCCUGGUCCCCUGAGGCGGAUAUCACCAUCCCAUUUCAGAGACAAGGAAAAUGAGGCCCAGGUGCGUGAAGAAACUGGCCUAUCAAGGCAGAGCUAGCGGGUAGCAUGCUGGACUUCUAAGCCUUCCUGAGAAAGUGAACUGCUUCCUCUGAGAUGGGCAUAGGCAUGGCUGUGUGUGCAUCUUGUCCUGACCAUUCCACAGUGGCUGUUAUCACACUCCAUUUACAAGUUGGCUCAGAAAACCGGAGGUGAAGCUGAAGCAGCCCAGCUGGCCCUAAGAAGCCCUGGACGCUCCCUCCCAUCCUCACAUCGUUGAGUCAAUGCUAUUAUUUGAAUGUCUGUGUCCCCUCCAAAAUUCAUGUUGGAACUUAAUCCUUAAGGAGCAGUUUUAAGAGAUGGGGCCUUUAGGUCAUGAGGGCUCUGCUCUAUGAAUGGAUUAGUGUCUUAUAAAAGGGCUUGAGGGGGCCAGUUCCCCCCUCUUCAGUCCCAUAUGCCAUGUGAAGACACAGUUCAUGGUGCCAUCUUGGAAGCAGAGAGCAACCCUUAACAGACACUGAACAAGCCCGUGCCUUGAUCUUGGACUUCACAGCGUCCAGAACAGUGAGAAAUAAAUUUCUGUUGUUUACAAAUUA